AUGGCGUCUGAUACAUCGUCGUACGGCGUCGACGUGUUUGGUCGAGAAAGCGAUGGUUCCUCCACUCGGCCUGCUUCUGUCUCUCUUUGCCCUUUCUCCAUCUCUCGAGUUCGACCUCCCUCCUGUUUUCCUCCUGCUCCUCCCGCAACCGUGCUCUCGACAAAGAGACUUCAUGUUGCUGCAUGUUCAGCAAUGGCGAAGGGAGUGAUAUGGGCGACUGCUGAGGAUUUAGCAAGGAACCGAGGAAAAGUGUUGUCAUUGUACCUUCAAAUUGUAAGAAGCCUCAACUCCCCUGAUCUUCCACUGCCUUGCCAAGAAGGCAGAGGUUCGCACCAUAUUCUUGUUUGGAUCCGAGGAGCGAUCCCUCCACAACACUGUGGAUCUCGUUGAUGCUGCUGAGUCCUCACUCUCCAUCCUUGAGAAAGGACGCCUUCCGUAA